rnacentral:rRNA from 1 species
UAGGGAAUAUUGGUUAAUGUGCGAAAGCGCGAACCAGCAACGCCGCGUGUGCGAUGAAGGCCUUCGGGUCGUAAAGCACUUUUUGCAGGGAAGAGGAAGGACGGUACCUGCAGAAUAAGUCUCGGCUAACUACGUGCCAGCAGCCGCGGUAAAACGUAGGAGACGAGCGUUAUCCGGAUUUACUGGGCGUAAAGCGCGUGCAGGCGGCAUGGCAAGUUGGAUGUGAAAGCUCCCGGCUUAACUGGGAGAGGUCGUUCAAUACUGCUAGGCGUGAGAGUGGUAUAGGGAAGCGGAAUUCCGGGUGUAGUGGUGAAAUGCGUAGAUAUCCGGAGGAACACCAGUGGCGAAAGCGGCUUCCUGGCCCAUUUCUGACGCUCAGACGCGAAAGCUAGGGUAGCAAACGG